CAGUCGCCGCGGGAAAACGAAGGGUGCAAGCGUUAAUCGGAAUUACUGGGCGUAAAGCGUGCGUAGGCGGCUUGGUAAGUUAGAGGUGAAAGCCUGGAGCUCAACUCCAGAAUUGCCUUUAAGACUGCCGAGCUAGCAGGUGAGAGAGGUAAGUGGAAUUCCGAGUGUAGAGGUGAAAUUCGUAGAUAUUCGGAAGAACAUCAGUGGCGAAGGCGGCCAUCUGGGACAACACUGACGCUGAGGCACGAAAGCGUGGGGAGCAAACAGGAUUAGAUACCCCUGUAGUCCCUGUCUCUUAUAC
rnacentral:rRNA from 1 species